UCUUCUCGUUCUCCUGCCGCACGACACACUCAACUGCAGCUUAGGGUUUCUGCUUCUAUUUCUGUCACUGCUGUCCCUCUACUGCCGUUUCUUGAUUGUGUUUCCCCUUUGUCCCACUUUCCUGAGGACAUUAGCUUUGCCAAAGUGGCUGCCAUCAUCUCUGUCCGUCGUUUGACGCCGCUCUAUCUUCCGUUCCUCUGUCGUACUAAAACGGCCACCACCACUGCUGCUGUUUUGUGAUUAGGGUUCUGUUGUCGCUGACUGCUCGCUAACUCACGGCUCUAUGCCAAUACCUCUGCUCACCAUCGUUAGUGGAGACCGGCUGACCGUCAUCGACUCUAAGCUAGCUGAAAUCUAUCACCAUAGUGCCACCACUGUUCUGACGGCAGCAUUUGCAAGGACAUUCCGGCCAACAUUUUCAAUUUGAUAAUUAAUUUGAUGGUUGGUUAAUACUGAUUACAAGGGCCGUUGGUAUUGAGCUUCGCAUUGGUCUUCUUGACUAAUUCACUGUUGCUGGGGGAAUUCAAUGUUGUUUUUCCUUUGGAAUUCAUUGAUUGAGAUUACUUGACUACCUGUAUUUAGCCUUUGCUAGCCCGAACUUGUUAAGCAUUGGUGCUUGUUAAAUUACUGAAUGACAUCGUGACUUCUAAGUC